CAAUGUCACAACUACUUGUGCCACACACACAGACUGUGCUCUUGUCUAUUGGUUCUACUUGACAUCAAAGGGAGGCUAGUUGUUUGUUUCAUCAAUGAACCACAGCUGCAGGUGGAUUUCCACACCAGGAUGAAUGAAGACUCAGACAUCACCUUCCAUUUCCAAGUGUUCUUUGGCCGUUGUGUGGUCAUGAACAGCGUGAGAAUGGGGCCUGGAAGCCUGAGAUGAAAUCCAAAAAUAUGCCCUUUCAGAAUGGCAAAGAAUUUGACCUGAGCAUCUUGGUGCUGGACAGUAAGUACCAGGUAAUGGUCGAUGGCCAAUGCUUUUAGAGCUUUGACCAUCGAAUCCCGCCUGAGUCUGUGAAGAUGGUGCAAGUGUGGAGAGAUGUCUCCCUGACCAAAGUGAGUGCCUGCAAUUGAGG
rnacentral:lncRNA from 1 species